rnacentral:rRNA from 1 species
ACUCCUGCGGGAGGCAGCAGUGGGGAAUUUUGGACAAUGGGCGAAAGCCUGAUCCAGCAAUGCCGCGUGAGUGAAGAAGGCCUUCGGGUUGUAAAGCUCUUUUGUCAGGGAAGAAACGGUGAAAGCUAAUAUCUUUUGCUAAUGACGGUACCUGAAGAAUAAGCACCGGCUAACUACGUGCCAGCAGCCGCGGUAAUACGUAGGGUGCAAGCGUUAAUCGGAAUUACUGGGCGUAAAGCGUGCGCAGGCGGUUUUUUAAGUCUGAUGUGAAAUCCCCGGGCUCAACCUGGGAAUUGCAUUGGAGACUGCAAGGCUAGAAUCUGGCAGAGGGGGGUAGAAUUCCACGUGUAGCAGUGAAAUGCGUAGAUAUGUGGAGGAACACCGAUGGCGAAGGCAGCCCCCUGGGUCAAGAUUGACGCUCAUGCACGAAAGCGUGGGGAGCAAACAGGAUUAGAAACCCGUGUAGUCCCAUG